GCGUUUGUGGUUCAACGGUUAGGAUGAUUGUCUUCCAAACAAUGGACUUGGGUUCGACUUUCGGCAGAUGUA